rnacentral:lncRNA from 1 species
AAAAAAUGAAACGAGUCGACACAGAGGUGGUACUAGAGAAAGUAUCACAAUUGUAUAUACCCUCUUAGGCAAAAACUCAACUCAGUGCUCUCUUGCCUCCAUAUCCCUUUGGGACUGGCCUACUGAUACUCACGCAGUACGGCUUCUUUGUCCCCAUAUGGAACAUGGAAGUAGAGUUCAGUUGAUAGAGACAUCCUAACAAUGCUUCUUCUAAGAGUAACCAAGUUCAUACUCUGAAGCAACAGCACUAGAACUUGCCAGCUCCUUCACAGAGAGCUGGGUUGCCCCAGAACCUCAUCGUCAUGGCAGCCAAGAAAAAAACAUUCAGAACACAGAGUUCAUACUGGCAACUGCCAUUUUAUGAAGCAGAAGGUGGAUUUCACAGGGGCCAGCAGCAGUUGGCAAGGGCACAAGAAAAGGCAAAAGUGCCAGCUGUUUUAUGCACCUUAUUUCUGCCUCUGUUUAAUAAGAGUUGAGACACUGAAAUCAAGCUACCGUAUAAGGACCAUGUGUGCCCAGAGAAGAUCAAGAAGAGAGCCAGGAUGCUCACAUCUAGAUUAUUUAUUACAACAGACUGGAACUGUACAUGCAGUUACUAAUCAAAAGGAAGCUGAGCUCGUCCACACUGGAAAAGUAGGAUGGACAACUGGGGAGUGACAUGCAGCCCCAACCCCAUUUUGCAACCCCACCCAAGUUGAAGAAACUAACAGCAGCUAACUAGGGUACAUAGCCUUCAGGAAACAAACACACAAAAUAUGACACAAUAAACAAAGUGUACUUCCAGCCA